GGCGGCAGGGAGGAGAAGCAGAGCGACGAGACUAUCAGAGAGCACAAAGGCUGAGAGAAAGAGGGCGCAUCGGUGGAGUGAGCAGAGAAGAGGAAGGAGGCACAGAAACAUACAAACAUCGCAGCAAAGAAAAAAUGCAACGACGA
ensembl:ncRNA F16A11.8 ncRNA